UUAUCCUUAAGUAAAUUGCAAACGUAGUAGCGAGCUAUGGCCGGCUCUAAUUUCUCCCUAAGGUUCGUACUCAUGGCCGUGUUUGUUUCUGUUAUCUUCAUCUCGAUCAUGGCAGCGAAUCCAUCCCAGGCCGCUCGAGUUUCUCGAGAGCUGCUUAAGGCUAACACCACCGCCGCCGCCGCAAUGUAUUGCCUGGACGAUUGUGUUGGGUGUUGCGAACCACCGCCGCCGGGCUCAUGCUGUCUGAAGUGCGGUUGCUGAUCGACGACCUCCUAAACUUGAAGAAUAUGCACGCUUAUCAUAGUUUAAAAACCAUCAUAUUAUAAUAUUUUUUAAUGCAUAUACACGUGUUUGAAUAUAGAAUUUGACUUCAGUCUCAGUUGAGAUGGUCAGGCAGUGAGUUAACAACUGUGGGCUGGUUUUGUUGUAAAAACAACCCAUACAUAUACUACAAAUAUAUUGUUUGUAUCAAUAUGUUUUUGAGUGAUUUAUUUUUAAGAAUGCACGGAGUAAUAAACUUCUUGAA